rnacentral:tRNA from 1 species
GGGCCUGUAGCUCAGUGGUAGAGCGGCGGACUCAUAAUCUGCUGGUCCCAGGUUCGAUCCCUGGCGGGCCCACCG